AAAAAAAAAAAAAAAAGGAAGGAACUGCUGCUAUCAGAGUGAAGAAAUGUGAGGUCACCCUUUGCGGGAACAGGAGGCGAGCCGGAGGAAGUUCCUUUUCCUCUCUCCAGCCUCGCCGUCUCAGCAGAGCGAAACAGGGGAGCCCCUGGCAAGCAAAUGUUGGAAGGUUCCCAGCCCAGCGUCACAGCAGAGCAGAGAGGAUUCCAAAGCUCUUGAGCUGCAUGAAGUCACUGGAACACAGUAGAGCUUCUGAACCUGUAGCUGGAGAUGAGUAUCACCAGCCAACAUCCUUGGCAGAGCUGUGAGCCAACAGCCAGCCCCAGCCUGCCAGCCGUGUGAGCAAGCAGUCUUGGAAGGUGAUUCUACAGCCCCAGCUGAAACACUCCAACUGAUGCCAUGUGAGCCGAGAAGAGCAGCCAAACUGAGCCCUUCUCAAAUCCCUGAUCCUCCAAAUGUAGGCAAAAUAAAUUGCUGGUUUUAAGCCA
rnacentral:lncRNA from 1 species